GGUGGGAUGCCAGAGUCCGGUUGAAUGGGCCGCACUCGAAAUGCGGUAUCCCGCUUUAGCGGGAUCGGGGGUUCAAAUCCCUCUCCCACCG
rnacentral:tRNA from 1 species